rnacentral:rRNA from 1 species
UAAGCGACUAAGCGUACACGGUGGAUGCCCUGGCAGUCAGAGGCGAUGAAGGACGUGCUAAUCUGCGAUAAGCGUCGGUGAGGUGAUAUGAACCGUUAUAACCGGCGAUUUCCGAAUGGGGAAACCCAGUGUGAUUCGUCACACUAUCAUUAACUGAAUCCAUAGGUUAAUGAGGCGAACCGGGGGAACUGAAACAUCUAAGUACCCCGAGGAAAAGAAAUCAACCGAGAUUCCCCCAGUAGCGGCGAGCGAACGGGGAGGAGCCCAGAGCCUGAAUCAGUGUGUGUGUUAGUGGAAGCGUCUGGAAAGGCGCGCGAUACAGGGUGACAGCCCCGUACACAAAAAUGCACAUAUUGUGAGCUCGAUGAGUAGGGCGGGACACGUGGUAUCCUGUCUGAAUAUGGGGGGACCAUCCUCCAAGGCUAAAUACUCCUGACUGACCGAUAGUGAACCAGUACCGUGAGGGAAAGGCGAAAAGAACCCCGGCGAGGGGAGUGAAAAAGAACCUGAAACCGUGUACGUACAAGCAGUGGGAGCCUCUUAAUGGGGUGACUGCGUACCUUUUGUAUAAUGGGUCAGCGACUUAUAUUCUGUAGCAAGGUUAACCGAAUAGGGGAGCCGAAGGGAAACCGAGUCUUAACUGGGCGUUAAGUUGCAGGGUAUAGACCCGAAACCCGGUGAUCUAGCCAUGGGCAGGUUGAAGGUUGGGUAACACUAACUGGAGGACCGAACCGACUAAUGUUGAAAAAUUAGCGGAUGACUUGUGGCUGGGGGUGAAAGGCCAAUCAAACCGGGAGAUAGCUGGUUCUCCCCGAAAGCUAUUUAGGUAGCGCCUCGUGAAUUCAUCUCCGGGGGUAGAGCACUGUUUCGGCAAGGGGGUCAUCCCGACUUACCAACCCGAUGCAAACUGCGAAUACCGGAGAAUGUUAUCACGGGAGACACACGGCGGGUGCUAACGUCCGUCGUGAAGAGGGAAACAACCCAGACCGCCAGCUAAGGUCCCAAAGUCAUGGUUAAGUGGGAAACGAUGUGGGAAGGCCCAGACAGCCAGGAUGUUGGCUUAGAAGCAGCCAUCAUUUAAAGAAAGCGUAAUAGCUCACUGGUCGAGUCGGCCUGCGCGGAAGAUGUAACGGGGCUAAACCAUGCACCGAAGCUGCGGCAGCGACACUAUGUGUUGUUGGGUAGGGGAGCGUUCUGUAAGCCUGUGAAGGUGGCCUGUGAGGGUUGCUGGAGGUAUCAGAAGUGCGAAUGCUGACAUAAGUAACGAUAAAGCGGGUGAAAAGCCCGCUCGCCGGAAGACCAAGGGUUCCUGUCCAACGUUAAUCGGGGCAGGGUGAGUCGACCCCUAAGGCGAGGCCGAAAGGCGUAGUCGAUGGGAAACAGGUUAAUAUUCCUGUACUUGGUGUUACUGCGAAGGGGGGACGGAGAAGGCUAUGUUGGCCGGGCGACGGUUGUCCCGGUUUAAGCGUGUAGGCUGGUUUUCCAGGCAAAUCCGGAAAACCAAGGCUGAGGCGUGAUGACGAGGCACUACGGUGCUGAAGUGACAAAUGCCCUGCUUCCAGGAAAAGCCUCUAAGCAUCAGGUAACAUCAAAUCGUACCCCAAACCGACACAGGUGGUCAGGUAGAGAAUACCAAGGCGCUUGAGAGAACUCGGGUGAAGGAACUAGGCAAAAUGGUGCCGUAACUUCGGGAGAAGGCACGCUGAUAUGUAGGUGAAGCGACUUGCUCGUGGAGCUGAAAUCAGUCGAAGAUACCAGCUGGCUGCAACUGUUUAUUAAAAACACAGCACUGUGCAAACACGAAAGUGGACGUAUACGGUGUGACGCCUGCCCGGUGCCGGAAGGUUAAUUGAUGGGGUUAGCGGCAACGCGAAGCUCUUGAUCGAAGCCCCGGUAAACGGCGGCCGUAACUAUAACGGUCCUAAGGUAGCGAAAUUCCUUGUCGGGUAAGUUCCGACCUGCACGAAUGGCGUAAUGAUGGCCAGGCUGUCUCCACCCGAGACUCAGUGAAAUUGAACUCGCUGUGAAGAUGCAGUGUACCCGCGGCAAGACGGAAAGACCCCGUGAACCUUUACUAUAGCUUGACACUGAACAUUGAGCCUUGAUGUGUAGGAUAGGUGGGAGGCUUUGAAGUGUGGACGCCAGUCUGCAUGGAGCCGACCUUGAAAUACCACCCUUUAAUGUUUGAUGUUCUAACGUUGGCCCGUAAUCCGGGUUGCGGACAGUGUCUGGUGGGUAGUUUGACUGGGGCGGUCUCCUCCUAAAGAGUAACGGAGGAGCACGAAGGUUGGCUAAUCCUGGUCGGACAUCAGGAGGUUAGUGCAAUGGCAUAAGCCAGCUUGACUGCGAGCGUGACGGCGCGAGCAGGUGCGAAAGCAGGUCAUAGUGAUCCGGUGGUUCUGAAUGGAAGGGCCAUCGCUCAACGGAUAAAAGGUACUCCGGGGAUAACAGGCUGAUACCGCCCAAGAGUUCAUAUCGACGGCGGUGUUUGGCACCUCGAUGUCGGCUCAUCACAUCCUGGGGCUGAAGUAGGUCCCAAGGGUAUGGCUGUUCGCCAUUUAAAGUGGUACGCGAGCUGGGUUUAGAACGUCGUGAGACAGUUCGGUCCCUAUCUGCCGUGGGCGCUGGAGAACUGAGGGGGGCUGCUCCUAGUACGAGAGGACCGGAGUGGACGCAUCACUGGUGUUCGGGUUGUCAUGCCAAUGGCACUGCCCGGUAGCUAAAUGCGGAAGAGAUAAGUGCUGAAAGCAUCUAAGCACGAAACUUGCCCCGAGAUGAGUUCUCCCUGACCCUUUAAGGGUCCUGAAGGAACGUUGAAGACGACGACGUUGAUAGGCCGGGUGUGUAAGCGCAGCGAUGCGUUGAGCUAACCGGUACUAAUGAACCGUGAGGCUUAACCU